rnacentral:misc_RNA from 1 species
GGGGUGCAUUUUGUGUUCAGCCUGCCUGUGUUGAGCCCUCAUCUGUAUGUGUCCAGCCUGCAUGCUUCAUUCCUCGAAUCUUCCCUCAAAAAAGUAAGAAUAAGACUCGAAAUCCUCGAGCAGAGCAUGGACUGCCUACUAGUGCACUUCCUGAGCUUGUAGCAGAACCCACUGCAGCCCGGUCCAUGUCCUUUGUUGGAACCCAUGAAUACCUAGCCCCUGAAAUUAUCAAGGGAGAAGGCCAUGGUAGUGCUGUUGAUUGGUGGACAUUUGGGAUUUUCUUGCAUGAGCUACUGUAUGGGAAAACCCCAUUCAAAGGCUCAGGAAACCGUGCUACACUGUUCAAUGUGGUGGGGCAGCAGCUGAGAUUCCCAGACUCUCCAGCAACCAGCUAUGCUAGCCGAGAUUUGAUUCGAGGGUUGCUGGUGAAAGAACCACAGCACAGGUUGGGAGUGAAGAGGGGUGCAACU